rnacentral:rRNA from 1 species
GAUGAACGCUGGCGGCGUGCCUAAUACAUGCAAGUAGAACGCUGAAGGAAGGAGCUUGCUCUUUCCGGAUGAGUUGCGAACGGGUGAGUAACGCGUAGGUAACCUGCCUGGUAGCGGGGGAUAACUAUUGGAAACGAUAGCUAAUACCGCAUAACAGUAGAUGUUGCAUGAUAUCUACUUAAAAGGUGCAAUUGCACCACUACCAGAUGGACCUGCGUUGUAUUAGCUAGUUGGUGAGGUAACGGCUCACCAAGGCGACGAUACAUAGCCGACCUGAGAGGGUGAUCAGCCACACUGGGACUGAGACACGGCCCAGACUCCUACGGGAGGCAGCAGUAGGGAAUCUUCGGCAAUGGACGGAAGUCUGACCGAGCAACGCCGCGUGAGUGAAGAAGGUUUUCGGAUCGUAAAGCUCUGUUGUAAGAGAAGAACGAGUGUGAGAGUGGAAAGUUCACACUGUGACGGUAUCUUACCAGAAAGGGACGGCUAACUACGC